GCUGGAGUAGUUUCAGGAUGGAUG
rnacentral:siRNA from 1 species